GGUUAAGUUAGAAAGGGCGCACGGUGGAUGCCUUGACACUAGGAGUCGAUGAAGGACGGGACUAACGCCGAUAUGCUUCGGGGAGCUGUAAGUAAGCUUUGAUCCGAAGAUUUCCGAAUGGGGAAACCCACCAUACGUAAUGGUAUGGUAUCCUUAUCUGAAUACAUAGGGUAAGGAAGACAGACCCAGGGAACUGAAACAUCUAAGUACCUGGAGGAAGAGAAAGCAAAUGCGAUUUCCUGAGUAGCGGCGAGCGAAACGGAACAUAGCCCAAACCAAGAGGCUUGCCUCUUGGGGUUGUAGGACAUUCUAUACGGAGUUACAAAGGAACGAGGUAGACGAAGCGACCUGGAAAGGUCCGUCGUAGAGGGUAACAACCCCGUAGUCGAAACUUCGUUCUCUCUUGAAUGUAUCCUGAGUACGGCGGAACACGUGAAAUUCCGUCGGAAUCUGGGAGGACCAUCUCCCAAGGCUAAAUACUCCCUAGUGAUCGAUAGUGAACCAGUACCGUGAGGGAAAGGUGAAAAGCACCCCGGAAGGGGAGUGAAAGAGAUCCUGAAACCGUGUGCCUACAAAUAGUCAGAGCCCGUUAACGGGUGAUGGCGUGCCUUUUGUAGAAUGAACCGGCGAGUUACGAUCCCGUGCGAGGUUAAGCUGAAGAGGCGGAGCCGCAGCGAAAGCGAGUCUGAAUAGGGCGUUUAGUACGUGGUCGUAGACCCGAAACCAGGUGAUCUACCCAUGUCCAGGGUGAAGUUCAGGUAACACUGAAUGGAGGCCCGAACCCACGCACGUUGAAAAGUGCGGGGAUGAGGUGUGGGUAGCGGAGAAAUUCCAAUCGAACCUGGAGAUAGCUGGUUCUCCCCGAAAUAGCUUUAGGGCUAGCCUUAAGUGUAAGAGUCUUGGAGGUAGAGCACUGAUUGGACUAGGGGUCCUCAUCGGAUUACCGAAUUCAGUCAAACUCCGAAUGCCAAUGACUUAUCCUUAGGAGUCAGACUGCGAGUGAUAAGAUCCGUAGUCAAAAGGGAAACAGCCCAGACCGCCAGCUAAGGUCCCAAAGUGUGUAUUAAGUGGAAAAGGAUGUGGAGUUGCUUAGACAACUAGGAUGUUGGCUUAGAAGCAGCCACCAUUUAAAGAGUGCGUAAUAGCUCACUAGUCGAGUGACUCUGCGCCGAAAAUGUACCGGGGCUAAAUACACCACCGAAGCUGCGGAUUGAUACCAAUGGUAUCAAUGGUAGGGGAGCGUUCUAAGGACAGUGAAGUCAGACCGGAAGGACUGGUGGAGUGCUUAGAAGUGAGAAUGCCGGUAUGAGUAGCGAAAGACGGGUGAGAAUCCCGUCCACCGAAUGCCUAAGGUUUCCUGAGGAAGGCUCGUCCGCUCAGGGUUAGUCAGGACCUAAGCCGAGGCCGACAGGCGUAGGCGAUGGACAACAGGUUGAUAUUCCUGUACCACCUCUUUAUCGUUUGAGCAAUGGAGGGACGCAGAAGGAUAGAAGAAGCGUGCGAUUGGUUGUGCACGUCCAAGCAGUUAGGCUGAUAAGUAGGCAAAUCCGCUUAUCGUGAAGGCUGAGCUGUGAUGGGGAAGCUCCUUAUGGAGCGAAGUCUUUGAUUCCCCGCUGCCAAGAAAAGCUUCUAGCGAGAUAAAAGGUGCCUGUACCGCAAACCGACACAGGUAGGCGAGGAGAGAAUCCUAAGGUGUGCGAGAGAACUCUGGUUAAGGAACUCGGCAAAAUGACCCCGUAACUUCGGGAGAAGGGGUGCUUUCUUAACGGAAAGCCGCAGUGAAUAGGCCCAAGCGACUGUUUAGCAAAAACACAGCUCUCUGCGAAGCCGUAAGGCGAAGUAUAGGGGGUGACACCUGCCCGGUGCUGGAAGGUUAAGGAGAGGGGUUAGCGUAAGCGAAGCUCUGAACUGAAGCCCCAGUAAACGGCGGCCGUAACUAUAACGGUCCUAAGGUAGCGAAAUUCCUUGUCGGGUAAGUUCCGACCCGCACGAAAGGUGUAACGAUUUGGGCACUGUCUCAACCAGAGACUCGGUGAAAUUAUAGUACCUGUGAAGAUGCAGGUUACCCGCGACAGGACGGAAAGACCCCGUGGAGCUUUACUGUAGCCUGAUAUUGAAUUUUGGUACAGUUUGUACAGGAUAGGCGGGAGCCUUUGAAACCGGAGCGCUAGCUUCGGUGGAGGCGCUGGUGGGAUACCGCCCUGACUGUAUUGAAAUUCUAACCUACGGGUCUUAUCGACCCGGGAGACAGUGUCAGGUGGGCAGUUUGACUGGGGCGGUCGCCUCCUAAAGUGUAACGGAGGCGCCCAAAGGUUCCCUCAGAAUGGUUGGAAAUCAUUCGUAGAGUGCAAAGGCAUAAGGGAGCUUGACUGCGAGACCUACAAGUCGAGCAGGGACGAAAGUCGGGCUUAGUGAUCCGGUGGUUCCGCAUGGAAGGGCCAUCGCUCAACGGAUAAAAGCUACCCCGGGGAUAACAGGCUUAUCUCCCCCAAGAGUCCACAUCGACGGGGAGGUUUGGCACCUCGAUGUCGGCUCAUCGCAUCCUGGGGCUGUAGUCGGUCCCAAGGGUUGGGCUGUUCGCCCAUUAAAGCGGUACGCGAGCUGGGUUCAGAACGUCGUGAGACAGUUCGGUCCCUAUCCGUCGUGGGCGUAGGAAAUUUGAGAGGAGCUGUCCUUAGUACGAGAGGACCGGGAUGGACGCACCGCUGGUGUACCAGUUGUUCUGCCAAGGGCAUAGCUGGGUAGCUAUGUGCGGAAGGGAUAAGUGCUGAAAGCAUCUAAGCAUGAAGCCCCCCUCAAGAUGAGAUUUCCCAUAGCGUAAGCUAGUAAGAUCCCUGAAAGAUGAUCAGGUUGAUAGGUUCGAGGUGGAAGCAUGGUGACAUGUGGAGCUGACGAAUACUAAUAGAUCGAGGACUUAACCAU
rnacentral:rRNA from 1 species